GUAUUCAUCAGGCAGCAGGAUGAUCUCUUGUGGAGUAAAAUGUCAGGUGUUUUUUUUUUUAAGAAAUCGAUUUUUAGUUGUGACGUCAUUUGGCAGGCUGUCCACGGUAUCACUUUCUGCUUAUUUUUAAAAGGUCUGAUUUAAGCCGACGCUGUUCUACCCUGCCACUCCUAGCCAUAAAUUGGUACUGUGUGUAAGUUUUGCUUUUUGUUUGAUCUGAAGCAGCUUUUGUUUCUUUCCCUCAGAAGCGAUGUCCCCGUUAACUUUUGUUCAGUAAAGAGACAGUGUAAGAAAAGGUGGAACUGUGUUGCUGAUAACUUAUCAGGUCUUUUAUACCCUUUUGUGUCUUUUUAAGUUUGCUUCUGAUCCCUGAGUUUACCUUAUGUCAGGCAUGUGGAAGUAUAAGCACAGUUCAAAUAUGUUAUUGGAUAAGCGUGUAAUUGAAUAAGGAGUUGUAACCUAAAGUUAGAAAAAUCUAACUCAUAAAGAGUAUGGGAAUUCCUCCUUGUCUAUCAAAACAAGUUGGUUAAGUCAGAGGCAAGACGAAAGGCCCAGGUUUACAUUACAUGUAAAUUGUAUGUGCUUUUGCUAGUUUUCCUGCCACUUAGGUGGCUUACUUAACAUGCUUCAGUUAACUCACCUUUAAAAUGGGAGCAAUAAUAGUUAUCACGGGGUUGUUGUGUUCUUACAUUUGGACAUAUAGUUAGCUGUAACUAUAAGUUAUUUUUGUUAUGCAUCCCAAAAACUUGGUUUCUGUCCCCACCCCCCGCCCACCAACUUUUUCUUACAUAUCAAAACCUUAUAAUAAAAUCCAUGGAGACAUAGCAAUUUUGAACAGAAAGAACCUUUGAGAUUAUUUGGUCUGCUUCCCACAUUUUAACUGCCGUACGAAGAGGAGACAUGAACAGUUCUCAGUCUUUGGAGCCAGACAGAUUUGGGUCAGGUUCAAAUCCUUGGCACUCUACUAAGAUGUUUUAUAUAAAGUACAGCUUGUAAGGGCACCAGGCCUCCUGGAGUCAGACAUCAUGGGCUUGAAUCCUAGCUAUUCUUAUUUGUGAGCUGUGUGAUGUUGCGAUAAUUACUAAGCCUUUCUGUAUUCCAUCUCAUGGUGUUUAUGUAAUGAUGGAAACUAUAUGUAAAGCACUAAACAUAUAUAAACAUAAACAUAUAAAGUCUGUCAUCUUUGUCAAAUUCCUCUUUGCCCUCUGUUUCCUCGACUGUAAAAUGGAAGUAAUACCUAUUUUUGCUAGGAUUUUGGAAGGAUUAGAUAUAAAUAAAACAUGGUAUGGUGGUAUUUGAUAAAUUGUAGUAAUAGAAGUAAUAUCAUUCAGUGAAAGUCAGUACAAACUUUAAUCUUGUACUGCUGUGGAUGUGUUGUGUAGUCAUGGUGUAGCCCCCUUUUAUUUAAUCGAUUUGCCUUAAUUAUUCAGCACAACAGUUAUAAUAGAAUGAUCAUCUAAAAAUAGGAAUGCAUGGGGAAAUCACGCAGGGAGCAGAGACUUAUAAAAAGGUACACCUAGAAAUAAGGCGCUGUUGUGUGAGGUUAUGAGGCCCAGAACCAUUACAACAACCUUACUAUCAUCCUGAAAAGGAAAUGACACAUGGAAGUGGAUAGAACUAAGAAAAUUAAGUUGGAGCCUAGGGCUGAAGUCAGUCUUGAGACCCACCCUACCUCUAGAUUUAAGUUAUGCCAGCCAUACAUUUCCUCACCACUUAAGCCAACUUGAAUUGGGGUUUCUGUUACUUGCUACCCAAAGCAAGUAACCUCCUCAGGAAGGUCUUUCAUGACCAUAUUACCUAAAGCACCUCCUGGUUCACUCUCUGUUGUUAUCCACUGAUUUCCUUCACAACAUGUACCACACUCUAUACUACAACAUAUAGCUGCAGUGAUCUUGGGGUGUGUGUGUGUGUGUGUGUGUGUGUGUGUGUUAGGUACUUCCCUUCUUUGAUUGUCUGACCCAGAGGGCAGUGAUUGUUUUUCUUCUUUAUAGUGCAUUAUAGAUGCUCAAUCAAUAUUUGUUGAAUAGUUGAAUGAAAAAACAAACUU